rnacentral:rRNA from 1 species
CUGGCUCAGAUUGAACGCUGGCGGCAGGCUUAACACAUGCAAGUCGAGCGGGGAUAGGGUGCUUGCACCUGAUUCCUAGCGGCGGACGGGUGAGUAAUGCUUAGGAAUCUGCCUAUUAGUGGGGGACAACGUUCCGAAAGGGACGCUAAUACCGCAUACGUCCUACGGGAGAAAGCAGGGGAUCUUCGGACCUUGCGCUAAUAGAUGAGCCUAAGUCGGAUUAGCUAGUUGGUGGGGUAAAGGCCUACCAAGGCGACGAUCUGUAGCGGGUCUGAGAGGAUGAUCCGCCACACUGGGACUGAGACACGGCCCAGACUCCUACGGGAGGCAGCAGUGGGGAAUAUUGGACAAUGGGGGCAACCCUGAUCCAGCCAUGCCGCGUGUGUGAAGAAGGCCUUUUGGUUGUAAAGCACUUUAAGCGAGGAGGAGGCUUACCUGGUUAAUACCCGGGAUAAGUGGACGUUACUCGCAGAAUAAGCACCGGCUAACUCUGUGCCAGCCGCCGC